rnacentral:lncRNA from 1 species
AGAUUUUUUUUUUUUUUUUUUUUACAUCAAGAAUGAUAUAUAGAUUAGCUCCAGUUAUAAUGUUUGCUUCCUCAAAAAUCACAAUGAGAUCAUUUAUUUCUGCUUAAAUGUUAAAAUUAAUCAAUCAAUUUUUUUGGCCUUAUGAACUGUUUCUCCACAACUUUUUUUUUUCUUCUUUUUAUUUAUGCAUGCAGGAUGUUUCUGGUUGGACUGAAACGAUUUGGAAGAGGAGACUGGAAGAACAUAUCAAAGCAUUGUGUGACUACAAGGAAACCAAGCCAAGUUGCCAGCCAUGGCCAGAAAUACUUCAGGCGCCAAAAAAGUUCUACUCCAGAAGACAAGCGCCGUUCUAGCAUUAAUGACAUCAUUGCAAUUGACCCAGACUUUGUUGUGCCUCAUUACACUUUCCCAAGCCUUGAACGAGAAAUUCCCAGUUAUUCUACUUCUACUGGCCAGCCUGAAAUUGCCUUGCCUUCAGAACCCGACCGAAGCUACGAUGUUGAAGAGUUACUCAAUUCAACAGAAGCUAGCACAUUCCAACUUGAAGAAUUCCCUCCUGUGGAUGAAGCUUUCUUUGAAGACCCUUCAUUUUACUUUCUUCCACCAGAUGCAGCUUAUCCAGGAGCAACAAUCAACAAGGAAAAUCAUGGGCAAGGACCCAAGAACUAGUAGUUUAAUGCUACUAGCUAAACAGGAAUCUCAGAGGGGUUAAAGGAACAAGCUUUAAAACAUGCUAGGGGUCUUUCUUUAAUUUGCAUGUGAUUGAAAAGGACUAGGAUCUUAUUCUCCUCUUAUGUUUUGAAUAUUUGCUAUGACAUCGAUUUCUGGGAUUUUGUCUUUGAUGAAGAAUUGAUUCUCGAUGUGGUACUUCGCAUUGGAAUGAUUGCAUGCUUUUGUGAUGGGCAAUUGGGAAGUAUCUCUCUUAAUCUUGAACACUGUACUUGAUUUAUCAUCUUGCUUGCAAUGUCCAAGUCAGUGUUCGGCCCAGUCGGCAAAGAGAAACUAGGGCAAAUUAGCUUUCAUAGACAAAGUGACAAUUUAAUUAAGCUGACUGUCGUAAUAGGACUAGCAUAUAGGAACAUAGUCUGAUAUGUCAAUGAAAUUCACCAGACUAGCUUUCUUGGUUGGAGAAGAAAUUGAACCAAUUAGAAACAUGGUUCGUCAUCGCAAGUCGCAGUCGCAUCGCGGUCUCAGUUGUUCCACAUCUGUAGUGACAUAUGGGUUAAAUAUCGAGUAAUACGCACAUUAUAACACAUAGUCUGAUAUGUCAAUGAAACUCACUUUCUUGGUUGCAGGAGAAACUGAACCAAUUAGAAAGGCCAGUUUCUUGACAAUAUCUCAUGACUGCAUUUCUAUGUUGCCCUGACGAUCUUUUAUGGCUUUCAAGCAGAAAUCAGGGAUUUUAUUGAUGCACCAAAGUAUUUACAAUCUAGAAAGGGGCAUACCCCUUAAUUAUCACGUCCGGAAUCUAGCUAAUGAUUAUGCUACUAAUAUAUACAACUUCAAUUCUCAAAGCGCAGGUGAAUCCCUAAUUUACUUGCUAGACUCUUCCUAGCUAACUAUCAUUCAUCAAGGAUCUUUAGUCCUUUACCUCUCACAUCACAAAUCUUGUUGAGUUGGAACUGGAUGUGAUCAAAUUGGAAAUAUCUUGUGGCCUGCCUUCAUCAUUGGAAAAAACAUAAGCAACCUUUCAUGAGCUGAUUAUCGCGAACUUUCGUGCCCUCUUCUAGUAUUGAUGCCCGCAAGGAUUCUAAAACAUUCACCACCUCUGCCAUCUCCGGUCUUCUUUUAGGGUCUGCGUCCCAACAACGUUCCAUCAACCUGGAUAGAUUCCUUGGACAAUGCUGAGGUAUUAUCGGCCUAAAGCUGGUAGAGAAAUCCGGUUUGUCACAACAAUAUAUCUCCCACAAGCAGAUCCCAAAGCUGAAGACAUCACACUUGUGAUCAUAAGGACUUCCUACUAGAACCUCAGGAGCCAUGUAACCCACAGUCCCUUGGGCCGAUGUCAUCUGACCAGGAUUCAGAUCCUCAAAUCUUGAAACCCCAAAGUCAAUGAUCUUCGCUCUUCGUCCUUCUUUAUCAAGAAGUAUAUUCUCCGGCUUCACAUCCCUAUGAACAAUCUUCUGGGAAUGAAGGUAAGACAGCCCUUUUGCAACUUCUAAAGCAAGCCAAAUAACAGUAUCGAGAGGCAAUUUUCUACACCUUUUCCUUCUGAGGAAGGAUCUCAAAGUACCACCAUGAACAUAUUCAGCCACCAUGCAACAAGCCAUUCUUGGCAUGCAAGAUUUACCUCGUCCUUGUUUAUUUAUGGUCAGGUUUGCUGCCUUUUUGGUUGCUCCGAUGAAUCUUGCUAUGUUAGGAUGAUCCAACUUGUUCCAAAUCAAUACCUCCUGAAUAAAAGCAUUCCAAACCCUAGCUUUGUAGUCGCCCACCAUGUCAAGAACUUUGACGGCCACUUGUUUACCAUCGUAAACACCUUUGUAAACUGAACCAAAACUACCACUGGCUAUAUGAUUCUUUAUGAUGAGUUUAUUGGAAUCGGCCUCCAGAACAUGAUUCAAGUCCGAUGCUUGGUGACUUGAGCCUUCUUGCUUAGCCCUAGUCUCUUCCAUCUCUUUGUCGAUCUUCGUACGCUGGCGAAUGGCUGAAUAAUCUCUUUUUCGUGUGUUUUAGUUUUAUAUAUAGGAAUUAAUAGCGACGAAAAUAUCUGCAUUAUGGAAAUUCAUCAUAUUUCCUAGUAGGUUUCGGAAACGCAUAGAAUUAUGUUAUAGGAACCGACCAAGUUGGUCUUCUGGCUCUCCUGUCCAAUCCAAAUCUAACAAAUUAGCUUAGAUAUAUCACCGUUAUAUGGCAUAACACUCUUGUUCAUUAAAUUCAAUUAAAAAUUAAUUAUUGUAUAGUUAAUUAAAUGUAUGAGAAAAAAAUCCCGUUCAGGUUUAAUUUAUCAAUGUGAUCUUAUAGCUCAGUGCAAAAAAAAAAAAAAAAAAAUUAGGGCUCGAAGACAAAAAUUAAAUUACUUUCUUUAACCUCUGAACCUCAUAUCCAAAAAGAUUGCAAUUAGAGCUGGAAGACAAAAUUCAAGUUACUUAUCUUUAAAUUGAGCUCCUCAUGUUAGGAUUGAUUUAUAAAUCUAGUCAAACGAAACUUUCUGCUCAUUAAUUUUUAAGCUCAACCAAUUAUACACAUAAAUUUAAGAAAUUUGUAUAAAUACACCAAACAACUUGACAUCUACAUUCUGAUGUAUCAAGCAACUUCCUUUGUCAUGAUCUCAUGCCUUCCAUUGAUUUUAUGUGCUACAUUCGGUUUUGUCAUCAGACUUUGUAUAAAAGCUAAACUUUUUUAACUCUUUUCGACUUCUUAAAUUCCACCCCUCUCCUCUCCUGAUAGAAGAAAACAAAAAAGAAAAAAAAUUGCUAAACUUUCUUUGUACCCUACGUGGUUAAACAAAAUUUAUCAUCUUUUCAUCUUCAAACUUACCAGAUCAGCAUAAAUUUCUCCUUAUUUGGUUUGCGAAAAAUUUCUUUCUAACAAUAAUGUAAUAUAUCAAAAGAUCUCCUAAUACGAUGUCUACCUCUCUUUUUUUUCUAUUUUCUCUCUUUUUUAUUAUCAAAUCAUGCUUAACAAAUCCCACCAAACCAAAAUUAAAGAAAAUAACUAGAAACAAUUUUGAAUCUAUAGGCUCACCUAGAGUUUGGGAAAAACAAAUUUUGUUGUUGCUUCAAGCAAUAUCUUAUUCAAUUCUUAUUCUUCAUCGCUAUUCAUCUAAAAUUGAGUGUGUCAAAUAAUGAAAGAAUAAAUAUCUUGAUUUGGGGCACAGCAAUACAGUUUAAAUUAACUGUAAUAUAUUCUUCAAAUGCAUGAAAAAGAAUUUGCAGUUUUGAAUAUGUUUUGCUGCAUCCAUUUAGAAUUCUUGUGUUGACAUUUUCCAUACUAAUGCACUUGGAGUUUCGAACCUCAAAGUUUAUAGUAUCAUAUUGAAAAGUGUACUACUUUUUUAAAUAAAGUUAAAGAUUUAACAUUUUUGUGGAGGAACAUUUUUCUUCAUUCAAAUUCUUUUAAUGAAAAAGUUUUUGGGCCGUACAAAAGUUUAGCUCCCUAAAAAAUGUCAAUUAGUUUUGAAGUUCAAUCCCCCAAAAUGUUAAAAACUGUGGCAAACAAACACACAAACGAACGAGGAUUAACAAGUCGAAUCAGCUAAAUGGGCCCAGGAAAAGGAAUCAAGGAAAGGCCCAAAACGGGAAAAAGAAGUGCCGAAAAUUAAUUGCCAAAGAAAAGUCGUUAAAUACGACACCGUUUUCAAGGCAAAUUUAAGGCUGAGCUUUCACGAAAGCGAAAACCCCUUCACAGUGUCGGUUCCGAGAGUUGUGGAAUUGUUGGGGUUUAAGCCUCCUUAAGACCAGAGAGAUCCAUCCACUUUCCUGAACCCAGCCGGGCAGAAACAGAAGAACCCGAAAAUGGAAACCUUGUUAAAAAUUUUGGUGCUUUUCUUGUGAUGGGAUGAAAUAGAGGAAUUAGUGUAGAAUUUAUUCUGUAGUGUAAAAAUGAAGGGAGUGGGAGAUGGAAAAAGAAUCUGUGAAGAAUUCUCAAAUGGGUAUUAUGGGGUAUGUGCAGUUGGUGGAAUGCUCAGUGCUGGAACUACCCAUGUUGCCAUCACCCCUCUUGAUGUCCUCAAAGUCAAUAUGCAGGUACGUCUGCAUAAAAAGAACGACAAAUAAGCACAAAAAUUUCUUUUUUGUAAUGUGUUUGUAGGAGAAACAAGAAAAAAAAAAAUUGUAUUUUUGUGGGCUUCAAGGUUUUCUUUUUCAAUUUCAUUGGUCAUUGUUGGAGAUCGUAAUGAUGUUUGCUUUAUGGGCCUUUUUUGGUGAAGCUUGCAGCUUGUAGUGGGUCUUUUGUAUUUUUUGGUGGCUCUAAUUGAUUCUAGUGUGGCUAUUUUGUUGAAUGAGGACUAAGGAAUGUGUUUUUGCUGUCCCUCCAAAAAUAUUAAUCUGGCAUAACUCUGCUUGCAUUUUAGAAGCAUGAUGCUGAUAUUUGUGAGCUCUAGCAUUUAUACUUGGUGAUGGCAUGCUAAGUUGGUAUUUCCAGUUAAGGGGGAGAAACUGGAAGAAAGGCACGGUAGACGGGCUUUGUGAUUCGCUGUUGAGGCUGUUGCAAUAAGCGAGACUAGGUUAACCCGAUGAUCAGGCAAUGUAUUAUUGAUUAUCUAAUGGAUGUUUCCGCUCUAAUGCUCUACCCAAGAGUUAUCAGUAUAUAUAAAAAAGUGUGACUAUCUAAUAAAUUGCUGUUGGUGACAUUACUGUUGUGAAAUAUCCAAGUGCAUUGGCUUAUAUUAAUACUAGGUAUUCAGUGGAAGUUGGUUAUUCACGUUAUGAAUUGCAAACCUGUAUAAGUUAUUAUCUUACUAGUUUGCUCUUUUCUUUUUCUAUUUUGAUUCAUGCAGCGAUUUUUAUCUUUAUAUAUACAUCUGUCUUUAGCAGUCCUAAAGUUUUUACCAGUUAUACAGUGAUCGGAGUUCAUGAUAGCCUUAGAGAAUGUAAACUCGCUGCUGUUUUCUGUGGACAUUAUUCCAGCUUUCUUAUUAAUAGACAGCUGCUCUGUAGAUCUGUCUGACCAAAUUUGCUAUAUAUCUUCUGUUUUGUUCUCUCAAAAAUUCUCUAACCUGGAAUACUCUUUUCUCCUGAUCAGUGGAAUCUUAUGUCUUUGAUUCCAAUGAUUUUUUUUUUUUGGUUGGUUUUCUUACUUUUAUCCGAAGCUGUUGAAGUUGAACUAAUGAAAAAACACAAAUUGUACUUAUUAGGUGUAUCCUAUUAAGUACCAAAGCAUUUCAACAUCUUUCACCACUCUACUAAGGGAGCAAGGCCCUUCAGCAUUUUGGAGAGGCUGGGCUGGGAAAUUCUUUGGUUAUGGUAUGCAAGGUGCUUGCAGAUUUGGCCUGUAUGAAUACUUCAACAAGGUUUACUCAAAUGUUCUGGUGGAUCAGAACAAGGGCUUGAUCUUUUUGCUCAGCAGCAUGUCUGCUGAAGUAAUUGCAAAUGUGGCUCUCUGCCCUUUUGAGGCCAUUAAAGUUCGGGUCCAAGCACAGCCUCAUUAUGCGAAGGGUUUGGCAGAUGGUUUUCCAAAGCUGUACAUGUCAGAAGGACUUCGUGGGUAUAGACCUACAACAUCAUGAACUUGUUCAUUCACAUAAAAUCCUAUUUUUCUGUUUAAUAUUUACUGGAAGAAUUACACCUUAGCUCUCCUUUGUUUCCAUUUUCAGCUUAUUCAGAGGACUUAUUCCACUGUGGGGUCGUAAUCUACCAUGUAAUUUCUAACUUCAUUUAUACUUUAUUUUGUAAUGUAAUAGCGCUUGAACUUUUGAACUUCUUGUUCAUGUUUGGUAAGUUACAAGGCUUCAAGUGGAGAAAUAUUAACAUUUUACAAUAGAUAGUUUAUAUGUCCUUUUCAUACAUCUGAACCAGCACUCUGACAUUGGAAGAGGAUAAUUAUCAAUGACAUUGCACAUUAUUGAAUAUUGAAUCACAUUGCAGCUGUUGCUAUUUCCCUCAAAUGAUACAUCAUUACAUACAAAGACAGAUUCAGGUAGAAACUGCUUCACACAAGUUGGGAAUAAUGGCGCACAUAACUCCUUAUAGUUGUAGAUGUACGAUGGAGAGUGGGGCUUACAAAAGAGUAUGACAAAUUAUGUGUAGUUUAUUCAUUUCAUCUCCAAAUAUUUGUGCAGUCUCAGUGGUCAUGUUUUCGACAUUUGAGCAUUCGGUGGACUUUUUGUAUCGAAAAGUAAUGCAAAUGAAAAAGGAAGAUUGUACGAAAGCUCAACAGCUCGGAGUAACGUGCUUGGCUGGAUAUGCUGCUGGAUCUGUUGGUAGCAUUGUUUCCAAUCCUGCUGACAACAUUGUUGCCUCUCUUAACAACAAGAAAGCCAAUAGCCUUAAGCAGGUGAUCUCCACCUAUGUUGUUUCUCUGUACAAAAUCUAACCACUUAUGCAGCUCUAUGCUUAAUAUUGUCGUUUAUGUUACCAGGCUGUGAAGAGAAUUGGGUUUGUUAAUCUAUUUACAAGAAGUCUUCCAAUUAGGAUUAUGCUGGUUGGGCCUGUUGUGACUUUGCAAUGGUUUUUCUAUGACACCAUUAAAGUGUUGAAUGGAUUGUAAGUUAUUCUUCAUCUUUAUAUUUGACUCAAUUUGUCUUUUACCAACCUUUUUGCUGCAGUUUUACCUUUUUCACAAUCUUAAGUGGGUAAAAUUUCCAGGGGUGUGGGAAAAUAAGUUUGGAUGUCUAUCUGUUGCUAAUUGUAUGUACUCAUUCUGAAAAAAUUUUGAGCUGUUAUUGUUUGUAUGGCAUAAAUAGAAAUGGAUAAAUUGCUGAAGAAGUCGUUAAAAUCUUCUUGUUACGUGGACGGUUAUAAUAAAUUGGCAUUUUAAAUCUUGUGUUAAAAGGGCUGAUGACUAUAACAAAUAGUACCUGUAUCUUUCUUUCUUCUUGCACUCGUGCCUUUAUAUUUUUUCAUAUAUGUCGAAAACAUAUCCAACUGUUGUAGAAAUUAAUUUGCACUUGAACAUUACAGGCCAACAAGUGGACAUGUUAGAACAGAAGAAAGGAACACAGCAAAAACACAUUUGAAUGCUCCAGCUGAAUAGUGGUGUACAUUUUGUUUACCGGAUUAUAUACUGAUCUAGUUAGCACAGUUCUCAAUUGUUUUGGUAUGCUGCCUGCUCUUUUGUUGCCAGGGGUUACUAUCCUCGAGCCCUGUGCAAGCAAAACAUCUUUUGUUGAGAUCCAUGCUUCCAAUUGCUCAUAACUUUCUUACAGCCCAUGUAUAUUCUGAGACAAAACUGUUGGCAUAUUCUAUUGUAGUUGAUGAACUGAUACUGGAAAUGGAAAAUUUGACAACAGCUGAAGCGGAUAUGAAGACUGUUGACAUGCUCUGGGUUUUAGUUUCAGGUGGCUGACUCGUUUGUAACUUGCAUUUCAAUGUUUUCAUAUUUAAAUAUGCAGUUUUACCUUGUUCCAUACCUAAAUCUGGAGAUAGAUAUCAACUGUUACAAUUGAUCAAUCUCCAGCUAUUUUAUGAGUUCUUCUAUCACUCUAUUAUUGCAUGAUUUUCCUCAUGCAUGCACUGUUGUGUAUGCACCUAUUAGGCUAUUACCUUGCACAGGGCGGUACACUUGCAUGGUUAGUGCUGUAAAACAGAACAGAAUGGCUAUGUAGGUCAUAGAAGGUACCACACACCAUUAUUGUUUGUGGAAGAUUAUCGUGCUGGGCUAUACGCACAUGAAUUACAGGAUAGAAAUAUGGGCUAUCUGCACAUGAAUUGCAGGACUGAAAUAGGAAAGAACACAGCAUUCGCCAGGUUACUUCACAGACCCUCUGCAUUUGAUAAAGAGAGGAUAUGGGACAUUUGUAGGUCGUGAAAUCCACAAGCCAUGUGCGGACGUGUUUAAGCUAUAAUGCCUAUGUCCCGAAUUGGCCACAAGUGGAAUGACUUGUGUCGAAGAACUGCAAAUUUUCAAGCAUUAACCACUUUUUUUUUUAAUCUUUUCCACCCUUCCCCCUCAUUGAUCCAGCUAAGAAUCCAAUCAUGGAUGAGUUGCUCCAAAACUCUCUCCCCCGUGUUCUUUUUUUUUUUUCCCUUUUUUCUAAUCCAUUUUAAGUUUGUCAAAAUUAGACUGCUAUGCUUUGUUAAGAACAUUAACCACCACCAGCAGAUCAUUCCUUCCUAGCGCCAUUUCCCGAAACACAGAAAAGGAACACCCACUGGUUGGACUUAUAUUGCAUUAGGGAACAAUCAGCCACAGGUAAUUCAAUUAACCAAGAGAAGCAACUUUCCCUAUCGAUGGCAAAAGCUCAUACUUACAUGCUUCAGUAGAAGCGGAAGCCCAAGAAGGGCCCAGGCAGAAAACAUGUCAGUCAACAAUUAAACGCACAAACCCAGAAUGCUUAAACAAUAAAGAAAACACACACACGCACAAACAUGAUGAUUCACCAAGAGGAACAGAGUGGCCAUCACUCAGGCCAAGUAAACAAAUUCAAAAUACAGAAUUCCUUUUGCUUAAAAUUGUAGUUGACUCGCGAACACAGUAAUUUACCAGGGGAGCUAUAAUUCCUGUAUAAGAGACACUCAUUGAUACACUCAACUUGGGCAUGCAGCUCAUACAUAGCUGUCAAUCAAUGACUUCCUCAUCUCAUCAACAAUGGCACUAGGUUGAGCUUCUCUUAACUUGAAAACGCUCUCUAUAACAGACAAUUCUGUUGCGGUAGUGUCAGAUCCACAAAAGGCUGUCCAGUCAUUAACUGUCAGGCCAGCAGCGAUUACUUCACUACCACGAUUCACUGUCCCUGCCACCAGUGGAACCUGUAGGAGCGUAGAGAGUUCAUCUAGGUCCUCUAUGGACGUAUGAGGAUGCACCUGAGCAACAACAGAUUCAGUGAGAAACAGACACGUGCUCUUAACUCUAACUUCAUAUUUCAUUAGCACAAAUCACAGAAUUAAGGAGUUUUAUAUCCGUUCAAAUGUUCACUAAGUACAAGGUGCACUGCUUACCAGGCCACCCCUAUUUGAAAAUGCACAAUAGCUGCCCACCAAAAUAUUUCCAGCAAUUGUCUGUCUAAAAACUUCUACUCCAAGAACAUCUGCAAUCAUCUCCUCAGUUUCCUAUGAGAAGACACAGCACACCAAAAUUACCAGCUUAAUCAAUGAUUAAAAUAAGCUCAUUUUGAUUUAGACAGUAUAUCAUGCUCUACCCUUCCUGAAAAAAGUUAUAACCAGACAGAGAAAAGCUGAAUAAUUAGCAUAAAAUUAAUAAGGUAGAUUCCAAGUGAAAUAUCAAAUUGCCAUUGAAGAAGCAAAAUUUGAAACAAGUGCAGAAAGCAUCCAGCUGAAUAUCACCACAACCUAUUUGAGGCUUUUACCAAGAGGGAAAUGCAUGCAUACAACAAGAACUGCUGUCAGCAUUGAGAAGCAUGCAUAGACUUCAGAUUUGUCACAUGACAGGCAUAGGAUGUACAGGCAUAUAGAUAAACAUAGGGAGGAAGAGUCUAGAUGACACAUGCAAGUGUUUCAAUCAGGUCAAUUGCAUUCCCAGACAAUAUAAGAAUUGGAAAAGCACUGCUUUAUUAGGUAUAGCAAAAUUGCCACUAACUUUUUCACAUAAGAUAUAUGGUAUCCAAAUCAUUAAGCAUGUUAUUAUCAAGGGAAAGGACAAUAUUACCCUGUCGAGAUCGGUGUGUGUAAGUGCAACAUGAUCGUUGCAGGCAAUGCAGUUUCCCAAUGCAGAAAGUCUCUCAUCAAUGCGCUGAACAACAACUGAAUCUGGUAGACUAUUCCUCAAAUGCUGAAGUUCUUUAUCACAUAUAAUGUAAAUCAAAGUCAGAACCUUGAAAGUCCAUAACACAUCCACAAGCAAAGGUAGAUAAUUCUCAUAUGCACCACAACUUUUUUACGAACAAAUAGUGAUCUUAUGAUGACAUGUAAUACGUCAUCAAUUAAAUCCAACAAAAACAUGGUCAACCAACCCAAGAAGAAGACAAAUGAAAAAGGAAAAGAACAAAGAUUAUACAUUGCACAGUGUAGCUGAAUAUCAAUACUUGAAAGGAAAAUUAUUUGCUUAAAAAUUUUAAAGCUGUGAAUCAAAAGAUACACAAUAACUGUACUAGCAACAAGUUCAUGAAGUUGUUACCUUGAUCGGUGGUAGUAUGCGGUAAGAGAAGCCCAUUCUUGUUUCCUAAAUGAAAAAAGGGGGAAAGUUAUCCUAUCUAAACAGUCAUUCCAAUGGUACUCAUGUCUCUACAAGCAAAAUAACUCUAAGAGCCUUCUAAAGUCCUCACCAGCACAAAGUCUUCCAAUGAUCCUAGUGCCACCAAUCGCGGUCUUCACUACCGGAAUUACAUCAGCCAAUUCUGCCUCAAACGUACUACAAUACACAAUAUAUAGGUUACACACAAGAAAAAAGAUUUGCUGAAGAAAAAGGGAAAAUAAAUUUUAUCAUGUUAGUAGAGUAGCUUGAAGCGAACCUGUAGAAGUUCUCAGAACCUCCAAUGGCGACCAAGCAAUAAGCAUUGGUCAACUUAGAAAAAACUCCAACUUCGCAUGAAUUCUCAAAUUGCAAUCCUAAAAUUAAAAGCAACGAUAAUAAUUAUGAUAUUAAAGGAACAAUUUUCACGCCAUAAAUCAGCUAAAAUCAAUUCUUUUUUUUAACUCAAUGACUUAUUUGAACUGGAAUACUCACUGGUAGCCAUGAUUCCAAGGAUAUCAAACAAAUAUAAACACCUACUCGAUAUUAGAUCUGAAAAGGGAAAAAAUCCAAGAAGAAAGGAUUGAACAUGGAAAGAAAGAAUAAAAAGCAGGAACAAAUAAGAAUAAUAAUGAAAUCAAUUACGGAAUUCUUACAAUCAAGAAAUCGAGGUUCUAUUGAAAAUUCGUAGAUUACCUAAAAGGGAUUUGCUGGGAGAAUGAUUUGAACGUUCAGCAGACGCUAAUCAACGAGAACAGAAACCCUGAUUAGUGUUUUAGGGUUAGGGCUUAUAACCAAGUCAAAAUAAAGAAUCCAAACGGUGAGAGGCUGAGAGCUGUUUUGUUUUCCUGGCUUUCCCCCUCUCUUUUAUUUAUUAUUUUUUUUUGGCGAUAAUUUGCGGAGGUUGUUUGGAGCCAGACGCUGAAAGGGCCUUAUAUGAAGGCCCCUUGUAUGUCGCUGUUGAGGAUUCAACUUCUCGACCAGUUUGGGCCAGAUUUAUUUAUUCCCCUUUCGGCCCACGCGGAAACUUCACCCUUGUAUCCCAAGAAAAAAAAAAAAUUUCUCAUCUUUGAAAUCAACAUUGACAGUCAACAUAUUAGACAUCUCACGUCAUUUCUUGUGAAGAACGUUGAAAGCUUGAUGAUCAAGAAAAGUUGGAUGUGAGCAGGCACAUAUUUGUAGUAUUGGUUUGUUGCAUAUAAUUUCACAUGGGUUUUGAAAUCUACCCUGAUGGAGUUAUUUUCUAACUACUUUGUUUUUGUACUUUGUAUUUAAAGAAUCAUACAAAUACAGCCAAAAAAUAGAUUGUCCAUUAGCAUAAUUCAAAACUCAUUUUGUAUAAUUUAUGCCUUCAGCUUCUUCAAAAUCAUGCUAAUUGCCAGUCAUUCUUUGCGACAAAUUCAGAACAUGUAAUUAGGUAAACUCAGCGUAUUUAACCAAAUGCUAUCUCUUCCUUUAAAAUUGUCUUACCAAAUAUGCCAGGUUAAGUCUGAGUCUCAAAAGAUUCAGGCACUAUUUGGAUUGAGGGAAUGGGAGAGGAAUCGAAGAAAUUUGGUUUUUGUUGUUUGGAUUGACUUUUAAGUAGGGAAAGGGUCUAAUAAUUUUGUCGAAAUAUGGUUUUCACUCAAAAAUGGGCGGAAACGAGGGAAAUGAAAAUAAAUUAAUUUCAAUAAUUUUAAAUUUUUUUAAAAAAGAUCAAUUUUGUCUAUAUUUUCUGGUAAUUAAAUACUUGGUCUUUUACUUUCCUUUCUCUUCCUCUUCAAUCCAAACAAAAAAUUAGUAUUUUCUUUCAUUUCCUUCCAUACUUAAUCCAAACAAAAUAGAUGGACAUCACUUUUCUCUACUCUCCUUUCUUUUCUUUUCCAUUAGUAUCCUUUUCUUUCCCUUCCUUUCCGUCAAUCCAAACGGUGCCUUAGAAAUUAUGGGAUUAAUCGAAUUCAGCCUUGGGCAUGCAAGCAAAAAAUACAUCUCCGAGUUGUAUUCAUGUAGCCAAGUAUACAACCUUUGGCCUUCGAUUGACCAAUCCAAGUCCAGCCUUUUAUCCUUGAAGACCAAAAACAAAUAGGAAAAAUUUUUAAAGGAAUAGGAAAUCCUCCGUGCUCCAGUGCAAUAUUCUUAUGAGAAUUGAAAAUGAGAGAGAGCUUGUAUUCUAUAUGCGCAUUAUGUCGACAUGAUCAUGAAUGUUAUUGUUGCAGUAUCGUUGCUCAGCAUCCUGAGAAUGAUGAAAAUCUCACAAAACCCAAUAUUUACAACAAAAGAAUAGCCACAGAACUUUUUUUUAAAAAAAAAAUUUAAACAAAAACAAUGAAAACAUAGAACAGGCCAGACUGAUGAUCGAUCAAAAUCACCCAUUACUACAUAAAAUUCGAGAAUUUAAAAUCGUUCUGAUGCCCGUAUCUGCAAGUGAAAGAUUGGCUUCGAAAGUAUUCCACCUCCUCUUGUUGCCACUUUCCAUCAUCAAAGUUCUUAGAGCAGCUAAAGCUAUCAUAUAUAAUUCAACAGCUCGUGUCUUUCGCUUUCCUUUGCACACGAUGACUUCUUUAGAACUACCUACUCCUUCAGCUGUGGUGGCCUGGAUUAGCCUCUCCAAUAGAUGUUUUAUUGUACUCAGCCUUCCAUUGGCUCCAAAGAAGUUACUGCCAUGAACCAUCUUUCUGGUUCAUGCUAACUUGUUCAAGUGAUUUCUUUUCCAUCGCAAACAGAAUUGUUUCACCAAAAGUUACUUAUACCAUGGUCCUGGAGGCAGUGAAAUAAAAGAAGAUUCCACAUGUUUUUCCCUUAUCACAAUGCAUUAGUGAUUAGCCACCCACCCAGGACUAUUCAUCUCCCUAACCUGGAGUAAAUAGCUUUUUGUAAAAAAGAUGAACCCUAGAAAUCUUCACCAACCACUACUUUCCAUAAUGCCAAAUCCAUAUCUCCAUCCCAACCAUUUUAUAUUUCAUCUGCAUUACUAUUAACAUCAAGGGGUUCAUUCAUACAACAGUUCCCAGAGUUAAGACUUAGGAAUUGAGACAAAUUUAGUACAGCACAAAAUCACAAAUUCACCUCUAGAUAUUCAUAGCAUCUAGCUUCAUUUUAAAGCAACAACUCGGCAGAAUGCACAGAAAUAAGCUUAAAAUGCGAGCAAAAAAGUUAAGGUGGUGCUUAUGUUAUAAGAAAGGUACAUGCCAAAAGCUACAGUGGCGGCGGAGACGGAGUCGCGUAAUAGGCGGAUGGGGACGGUGGUGGAGAGCUUGAAUGCGCUCGCGGGAUCAUCUGAGCUCAUAAUCAAAGCCGCACCGGCUCCGCCUCCCGCGGCUGUGGCCGCCAUCAACAGUUUCGCUCUGGUGCGCCACACCGAUCUCACCGCCAUUUAUUGGCCUUCCUUUUUAAUUUUUUUCCCCUUGUCCCCGCCUUUUGAUUGGCUUCGGGUUUUUAUUUAGAACUCCAAGAAAACGGGGUGGACAGAGGCGAAACUUCCUCUAUUAUCCACAUAUCUUCUGACAGCAGCUGAAGCGGAUAUGAAGACUGUUGACACGCUCUGGGUUUUAGUUUCGGGUGGCUGACUCGUUUGUAACUUGCAUUUCAUUGUUUUCAUAUUUAAAUAUGCAGUUUUACCUUGUUCCACACCUAAAUCUGGAGAUAGAUAUCAACUGUUACGAUUGAUCAAUCUCCAGCUUUUUUAUGAGUUCUUCUAUCACUCUAUUGUUUCAUGAUUUUCCUCGCGCAUGCACUGUUGUGUAUGCACCUAUUAGGCUAUUACCUUGCAUGGUUAGUGCUGUAGAACAGAACAGAAUGGCUAUGUAGGUCAUAGAAGGUACCACACACCAUUAUUGUUUGUGGAGGAUUAUCGUGCACAUGAAUUACAGGAUAGAAAUAUGGGUUAUCUGCACAUGAAUUGCAGGCAGGACUGAAAUAGGAAAGAACACAGCCUUCGCCAGGUUACUUCACAGACCUCUGCAUUUGAUAAAGAGAGAAUAUGGGACAUUUGUAGAUCUUGAAAUCCCCAAGCCUUGUGUGGACGUGUUUAAGUUAUAAUGCCUUUGUCCCGAAUGAGCCACAAGCGGACAUCGUGUUAUAGAAUGACUUGUGUCGAAGAACUGCAAAUUUUCAAGCAUUAACCAAAAUUUUUUUUUUCUUUUCAACUCCUCCCACUCAUUGAUCCAGCUAAGAAUCCAAUCAUGGAUAAGUCGAUCCAAAGCUCUCUCCCGUGUUCCCUUCUCUUUUUUUUUUCCCUUUUUUCUAAUCCAUUUUAAGUUUGUCAAAAUUAGACUGCUAUGCUUUGUUAAGAACAUCAACCACCAGCAGCAGAUCAUUCCUUCCUAGCGCCAUUUCCAGAAACAUAGAAAAGGAACACCCACUGGUUGGACUUAUAUUGCAUUAGGGAGCAAUCAGCCACAGGUAAUUCAAUUAACCAAGAGAAGCAACUUUCCCUGUAGAUGGCAAAAGCUCAUACUUAAGUAGAAGCGGAAGCCCGAGAAGGCCCAAGGCAGACAACAUGUCAGUCAACAAUUAAACGUACAAACCCAGAAUGCUUAAACAAUAAAGAAAACACACACACACACAAACAUGAUGAUUCACCAAGAGGAACAGAGUGGCCAUCACUCAGGACAAGUAAACAAUUUCAAAAUACAGAAUUCCUUUUGCUUAAAAUUGUAGUUGACUCACGAAUACAGUAAUUUACCAGGGGAGACAGCAUAAUCAUUAAAAAAAAAAAAGGAAAAAGAAGAGAGAAAGAAAAAACAUACAAUGUAAGUAAGAACAGGAGCUAUAAUUCCUGUAUAAGAGACACUCAUUGAUACACUCAACUUGGGCAUGCAGCUCAUACAUAGCUGUCAAUCAAUGACUUCCUCAUCUCAUCAACAAUGGCACUAGGUUGAGCUUCUCUUAACUUGAAAACGCUCUCUAUAACAGACAAUUCUGUUGCGGUAGUGUCAGAUCCACAAAAGGCUGUCCAGUCAUUAACUGUCAGGCAAGCAGCGAUUACUUCACUACCACGAUUCGCUGUCCCUGCCACCAGUGGAACCUGUAGGAGCGUAGAGA